rnacentral:rRNA from 1 species
AGGGAAACCGAGUCUUAACUGGGCGUUAAGUUGCAGGGUAUAGACCCGAAACCCGGUGAUCUAGCCAUGGGCAGGUUGAAGGUUGGGUAACACUAACUGGAGGACCGAACCGACUAAUGUUGAAAAAUUAGCGGAUGACUUGUGGCUGGGGGUGAAAGGCCAAUCAAACCGGGAGAUAGCUGGUUCUCCCCGAAAGCUAUUUAGGUAGCGCCUCGUGAACUCAUCUUCGGGGGUAGAGCACUGUUUCGGCUAGGGGGUCAUCCCGACUUACCAACCCGAUGCAAACUGCGAAUACCGAAGAAUGUUAUCACGGGAGACACACGGCGGGUGCUAACGUCCGUCGUGAAGAGGGAAACAACCCAGACCGCCAGCUAAGGUCCCAAAGUCACAGUUAAGUGGGAAACGAUGUGGGAAGGCUCAGACAGCCAGGAUGUUGGCUUAGAAGCAGCCAUCAUUUAAAGAAAGCGUAAUAGCUCACUGGUCGAGUCGGCCUGCGCGGAAGAUGUAACGGGGCUAAACUGUGCACCGAAGCUGCGGCAGCGACGCUUAUGCGUUGUUGGGUAGGGGAGCGUUCUGUAAGCCUGCGAAGGUGUCCUGUGAGGGAUGCUGGAGGUAUCAGAAGUGCGAAUGCUGACAUAAGUAACGAUAAUGCGGGUGAAAAGCCCGCUCGCCGGAAGACCAAGGGUUCCUGUCCAACGUUAAUCGGGGCAGGGUGAGUCGACCCCUAAGGCGAGGCCGAAAGGCGUAGUCGAUGGGAAACGGGUUAAUAUUCCCGUACUUGGUGUUACUGCGAAGGGGGGACGGAGAAGGCUAUGUUGGCCGGGCGACGGUUGUCCCGGUUUAAGCGUGUAGGCUGGUUUUCCAGGCAAAUCCGGAAAAUCAAGGCUGAGGCGUGAUGACGAGGCACUACGGUGC